UUAGAAAUCGAGUCUUAGAGACUCGAUUUGAGAGGGACGAGACGAGAGUCCGUUGAACAGCACUGAUAGCGUCAAACGACUCAAACCUGCGGUUGGAAUCGGGAAGUCCUUUGCUGGGUGGUAUUUCCGGUGACCAAAACUCAUGGGUUUCACCGGUUAGAGAGAGAGAGAGUUCUAACGAGACAGGAGAGAGAAAGAAGAGACAAUGAAAAGAGAAGACGAAGAAGAAGUUGGUUUGGGUCUUCUUUCUCUAUCUUGCAAAGUCACUCUCUAAGUCAAGCAACGAAAAUAUGGGUGAGAGACGUGUCGACUGGUCUGCUCUUCCAAUUGAACUCUUGCGUUCAAUCGCAGAAGCCAGCCAAGAUCGCAGCGAUGUUGUAAGAUUUCGCAGCGUCUGUGCUUCAUGGCGAUCCUCUAUCCCUCCAGUACGUAAAUUUCUUCCUUUUGUUCUCCCUCUUCCUUACCCCCCCGGAUCUUCUCGCAGAACCUUUGUCUCUCACAGAACCUUCUAUCGUUUCAAGCUACUAGAUGAUGUUAAUCCAAACCCUUCAACAUGUUCAUCAAAGAGCUGUUUGGUCAAGGUGGAAGAGGUUGGACUUGGUUUAAAAUAUCUUUUAGAUCCACUUUCAAAUCUCUCUUUGGGGAUUCCUUUUCCAAAAAGGAGUAACUUAUUGGAUUAUCAAGUUGUCGAGGUAAGCAAAGAAUAUAAACUUCAAUCUAUUAUUGGUCGCAUGCCUAUUGUUGGUGUGGAUAAACUAGUGUUGUUUCCUGACUCUGCAUGGAAUAGUUCUGUUAAAGACUAUGUGAUUUUCGCUUUAUCUAAUGAAGGAAAGUUGGCGUAUGUGAAAUAUGGAAAAAGAAAUUGGACCCUUGUAGAUGAUCUCUGUCGCUAUGAUGACAUUAUUGCAUACAAGGGAAAACCCUAUGUUGUUGAUAAGUGGGGAAUAGUUUCAUGGAUUGAUUCAUCAAUGAAGCUGAUAGAAUUUUCGCCUCCAAUUCCGGAUUUUGGAAACCAGAAGCAUUUGGUGGAGUCACGUGGAGAGCUCUACGUUGUUGAUAGGUUCUUUGAUACAGAGAGGAGGCUUCACCAUCUCCCUAAGACAUUUACUUUCGAUGUUUAUAAGCUGGACCAAGAGUGCGGUCGUUGGGUUACGGUCGAGAAUUUGGGUGAUCGAGUUUUUAUUUUGGGUAAAGACAGUUCCUUCUCUGUUUCAGCUUCAGAAUUCUCUGGAUGGAAAGGGAAUUGCAUUUACUUAACUUAUGAAGAUGACAAAGGUGUCUUCGAUCUGGAGACUGGUGAGAUUGUAGAUUUCCAAGACUGGAGUCAUCCAUUUCGGCUUCCCCCAUCUUGGCUCAACUCAAAUCCUCGUCUAAAUGUUGGGUUAAGGUAAUUUUUUACUUGGUGGUUGUCUUUUUAAAUUAAUUUAGCAUGAGAUAGUAGUGCCCUUGAACUGCUCUAUGUUGGUUUGUCUUUUAUGAAUUUAGCUUUAUUUGUGAUGUCUCCUGUGUCACUUUGUUUAUUGAUUGUGAUAUUAAUCGGGUUUCAGCCCGACACAGUGGCUGAUUCUUCUCAUUUGAUAAUCCAUGUUGAUUGAAAAUUUGAUUUCAAUGGAGAUGUUGAGCAGGCUGUAAAAUAUUAAAGCUUGUGUAGAAAUAGAACUUUCUCACAAAUCUACUCAUGGCCUAGCCUUUUUAUUUA